GCACGGGGGCAACCCUGGUGGCGAGUGGCGAACGGGUGAGUAAUACAUCGGAACGUGUCCUGUAGUGGGGGAUAGCCCGGCGAAAGCCGGAUUAAUACCGCAUACGCUCUACGGAGGAAAGGGGGGGAUCUUAGGACCUCCCGCUACAGGGGCGGCCGAUGGCAGAUUAGCUAGUUGGUGGGGUAAAGGCCUACCAAGGCGACGAUCUGUAGCUGGUCUGAGAGGACGACCAGCCACACUGGGACUGAGACACGGUCCAGACUCCUACGGGAGGCAGCAGUGGGGAAUAUUGCACAAUGGGCGCAAGCCUGAUGCAGCCAUGCCGCGUGUAUGAAGAAGGCCUUCGGGUUGUAAAGUACUUUCAGCGGGGAUGAAGGGAGUAAAGUUAAUACCUUUGCUCAUUGACGUUACCCGCAGAAGAAGCACCGGCUAACUCCGUGCCAGCAGCCGCGGUAAUACGGAGGGUGCAAGCGUUAAUCGGAAUUACUGGGCGUAAAGCGCACGCAGGCGGUUUGUUAAGUCAGAUGUGAAAUCCCCGGGCUCAACCUGGGAACUGCAUCUGAUACUGGCAAGCUUGAGUCUCGUAGAGGGGGGUAGAAUUCCAGGUGUAGC
rnacentral:rRNA from 1 species